rnacentral:sRNA from 1 species
AUGUAAGUUAGAUACAAACAAAACCCCUUUGUUUGAUCAUGAAACUUUCUCCCAUCCCCCUUUGUUAUUACAAAGAGAAAAGAAGGAUAUGCGCUGCCCCGCAUAUCCUUCUU